ACAGCCCUGUGAGGGUUGGGAGACCGGCCUGUGGGACACAGCGCGUGAUGUGAUGCCUUCUCCUCUGGCACUGAUCCUCGGGGAAAUAACCCUUUGUCACCACUAGCAGAAGGCUGAGCAGAGCGCCUCCAACCACAAAUCUCUUCGCUUUGCUGGAUGGAAAAUUUCUCCACCCACCUGAUGAAUAACCACAGAUGAAGCCCUGGUGCGCUAGUGACUUUCCAUGGACACAUGUGAAGCUGAUGAACUGUGGAGCUUUUUUAGUUUGUAGGAGGGAAACUGAGGCACGUGCUCGCUGCGCAUCCGGCAAAAGCAUGUCGAUAACCAGUAAUGAGAGAGGAGUGCUCCGUCUGUUCAGACUAUUCAGCUCUUUGCACGGCUGCCCACGUGGCCAGGUAGUUGCCAUUAAAUAAGAUGAUUAAUUCCUCGACAAGUUGCUAUCUGGCCUAGCAGUCCAGCAUUUCCUUUUGGCAUCUGUGGCUGCUUUGAGGAAUGCAGCUUUAUAGAUUUUUACUAAUUAUCUAAUAGCUUUUCAAUCUCUUGUUUCAGUACGUGGAACUGGUGUUAAUUAAUUGCAGAUCUUCAGCAUACCAUUCUUAACUGAUUCCCCUAGUAAAUAUGUUUAACACUUGCCUUGGUUUCCUGUACAUGAUUCAUUCGGUUGGUAAGUGAUCCAUCUUUGUUUGCUGUCAAAGUCUUUGAGUUGGAAGAGGACUUUAAUCAUGUUACUUGGCUUUUCUGAAUAGGGAGAAGAAAUGGAGUCAAAUAAGCACGCAAUGGCAAUGCAGUUAAAAAAGAACCAUGGCCUGGGUUUCUUCCACCAAUAAAAAGUUGUGCAAGCUUCAAUUUCCCUUUCAUUUUCAUGAAGAACAUGCUGGAGACAUCUAUUCAGCCAAAGAAGUGAAAUUAAAACAAAGAAACGAAAACAUCUUGAAAGGGGGGAAGAAGGCACUUUCCCAGCUUAUGCGUUAAUUAAGACCAGCCAAAGCCAACGGCUUCAAAAGGAAGGAGGAAGCCAGCAGUAAGCACGGCUGCAACUGCUUUUAAUGGGCUCUAGCAAUGGCAUGCAUGCCAGACAAAGCCAUAGCAGGCUUUAAUGCAACAGUGCCAGUUCAAAGGCUAUGGCCCAACAGUUGGCAAAACUGAAGUUACUGAAUAGUAAAAUUGUUUCACGAGCAGAUUUGUCAGCAGCAGUAGGGGACAAAGGAACUUGUUCAGCAGAACACGAUCAUCUUGAGAACUAUAAACACUGCUGGUUUAAAGAUAAAAUCAAAGGCCUUGAGAGCAAAGCAGAAGUAGACAUAAAUAUAUGCAUAGUUGGCUUUCCUGAAGGCGAAGAGGUUUGCAUCCCUCUCAAACAAUUCAGAAAGAAGCUGUUAACUGCCCCAGGUUGCUCUUGCACCCUUAGCUCCUGCUGUUCUCCUGGAUGAAAGCCUGCCCAGAGAUGCAAGAACAUACAGCAACACUGGUAGGUUUUCUGCGCAUCCCAUCAGCAGUGGACAUCUGGGAAUCUGGCAGGAGAAUUUAUACCCUUCCCCUCCACAAAAAAGCUGAGUGCAACCUGCAACAUCCUAUUAUAAAUAUUUCAUACAAUAGAAAAAAAAAAAAAAGGAGUUGUCUAACAGCAGAAGACUGAGCUGUUAUUAUGUUUUUGACAUGCAUAUUUCUUCUCAGUGCUGUUCAACCUGUGUUUCUGAUCCAACUGACUGGGAAAACAGCUGGUAAUUUUCUAUUUCUUUUGACCAACAUUCCAAGUUCUCACUUUAAAGGCUUCCUGGGUCCCUUCAUCAGAGAUCAGCAGCACACGUGCAUCUUUUCAAGACAAUGAUAACUACAAGGGAGUCACCUAAAAUCAAAAUAAGUGUCUGUCUUUGCUUUAUUCCAAACUGGCACACGACACCAGUGUAAAUUAGUGAUGACACACAGUUUAUUGCUAUCAAAAACAGCAUUCAGAGAGAUGGAGCUGAGACACUGGAGGGAAGCGAUCAUUACCCUCAGGGAGGCUUUAGUGUCAAAGCUGUAUGAAUAUGUAUCCACUGAUAAAAGCCCGGCUCACGCUGCAGUGUUCAGACAAUAUCACAUUCUCAUGCGAUCCUGCUAUCAAAGGCCACAAAGUUUUUCCCUGGAUGUGCUCACGCAGCCUCUGUGUCUGAAUGAGAUCUUCCACUUUGAUCCGGAGAGACAUGACAGUCUGAAAAAUGUACCACAUCUACCACAUCCUUCAUGGUUUCUUCUCAUGUUUAGUCAUCCUCCACGUGAAAAAAACUCUACAUCUUGUUGCUAACUUAAUGUCACCUAGUUUCAGUUUCCCACCACUGAUUUCUGUGGCUUUCUCCGACAGAGAUAUCCCUCUCGUAGCUGCUGUAUUCUUCCUGAGAAAGCACUCCUGUAUUACAAGUACUUUACCUCUCAAACCCACUUUAAAUAUUAAAUCUCUUUUUAGUUCUCACCAAAA